rnacentral:rRNA from 1 species
AGAGUUUGAUCCUGGCUCAGAUUGAACGCUGGCGGCAUGCCUAACACAUGCAAGUCGAACGGAAACGAUGGAAGCUUGCUUCCAGGCGUCGAGUGGCGGACGGGGGAGUAAUACUUAGGAAUCUGCCCAUUAGUGGGGGACAACUCGGGGAAACUCGAGCUAGUACCGCAUACGCCCUACGGGGGAAAGCGGAGGGGGGAUCUUCGGACCUCGCGCUAUUAGAUGAGCCUGCUUUGGAUUAGCUAGUUGGUGAGGUAAUGGCUCACCAAGGCGACGAUCCAUAGCUGGUCUGAGAGGACGAUCAGCCACACUGGGACUGAGACACGGCCCAGACUCCUACGGGAGGCAGCAGUGGGGAAUAUUGGACAAUGGGCGCAAGCCUGAUCCAGCAAUGCCGCGUGUGUGAAGAAGGCCUGAGGGUUGUAAAGCACUUUCAGUAGGGCUGAAGGUUAGUAGUUAAUAACUGCUAGCUGUGACGUUACUCGCAGAAGAAGGACCGGCUAACUCCGUGCCAGCAGCCGCGGUAAUACGGAGGGUCCGAGCGUUAAUCGGAAUUACUGGGCGUAAAGCGUACGCAGGCGGUUUGUUAAGCGAGAUGUGAAAGCCCCGGGCUCAACCUGGGAACUGCAUUUCGAACUGACAAACUAGAGUUUUGUAGAGGGUGGUAGAAUUUCAGGUGUAGCGGUGAAAUGCGUAGAGAUCUGAAGGAAUACCAGUGGCGAAGGCGGCCACCUGGACAAUAACUGACGCUCAUGUACGAAAGCGUGGGGAGCAAACGGGAUUAGAUACCCCGGUAGUCCACGCCGUAAACGAUGUCAACUAGCCGACUGAAUCCUUGAGAUUUGGGUGGCGCAGCUAACGCAUUAAGUUGACCGCCUGGGGAGUACGGCCGCAAGGUUAAAACUCAAAUGAAUUGACGGGGGCCCGCACAAGCGGUGGAGCAUGUGGUUUAAUUCGAUGCAACGCGAAGAACCUUACCUACUCUUGACAUCCACAGAACAUUUCAGAGAUGAAUUGGUGCCUUCGGGAACUCCUAGACAGGUGCUGCAUGGCUGUCGUCAGCUCGUGUCGUGAGAUGUUGGGUUAAGUCCCGCAACGAGCGCAACCCUUGUCGUUAGUUGCCAUCAGGUAAUGCUGGGCACUCUAACGAGACUGCCGGUGCCAAACCGGAGGAAGGUGGGGACGACGUCAAGUCCUCAUGGCCCUUAUGUCCAGGGCUACUCACGUGCUACAAUGGCCGGUACAGAGGGCAGCGACACUGCGAAGUGAAGCAAAUCCCAAAAAGCCGGUCUCAGUACGGAUUGGAGUCUGCAACCCGACUCCAUGAAGGUGGAAUCGCUAGUAAUCGCGGAUCAGAAUGCCGCGGUGAAUACGUUCCCGGGCCUUGUACACACCGCCC